GUGCCGCCCUGGACCACGUGGCCGCGGGUCAGCUGGGCCAGGGGUAGGCCACCUGGGCUCUUUUAUGACUCGUGGACUUCAACUCCCAGAAUUCCUGAGCCACCAUGCUGAGGGGAAAGGGAGAGGUUUCCAAGCUGAGCCAUGCUGCCUCAGGAAUUCUGGGAGUUGAAGUCCACGAGUCAUAAAAGAGCCAAGGUGGUCUGCCGCUGACUGGGCGGUCUCCCUGGGUUUCCCUCCGGGCGUGGGCUGCUGCGGUCCCAUCCUCCCCGGCCAACAAGGUUAUUGCAUAUGGACCCACGCCUCCGGGGAAAGUCCCGCCGCCUGGGCAGCGGAGGCGGGCGAGCUUCACCUACCUAACAUCUGCCUGUUGCAAAGAGGAGAAGGAAAACGCGUGCAGAGGAUGCGCUGCUGGCGAGGCUCAGGUGCAGCGUGUGCAAAAGGCGACGUUCCUCUGAGAAUGUGCGAAGUGCACCUAAGGAAGCCCCAGGCAGCCUGAGAUGGGAAGGGGCAGAUCCAUCAAAGCACCGGAAAGUCAACUAAAGUAAAGGAAGCCUUAAGUUCAAUUAUCUUUGAACAAGGAGAGGCUACCAGGACAGUCCUCUGAACAGCAGUUGCAAAAAGGCUGUAAUCCAGCCACGUCCCAUCACUAAGUCCAAAGUAGCACAAAAAAAAAAAAAAAAAAAAGCCAAC